UCCUCGUCAUUAAAUUAAUGUGUUUGCUCGCGGUAAUUGUGGCCUCUCGGGAGAAUCGAUGACUGCAUCUUUGAGGCAUUUGCUAGUACUAGUCCAUCUGAGAAUUCUUAAUUGGCUAGUUGUAAAUAGCCCCGGUGUAUUGGCCCAAUUUUACCCAGGCCCAGUGCCAAAUUAAACCAAAUGUCCCAAACCCAAAAUAACAGGCCCAAAAAAAGUAAAAAACCAGCAACCCAAAAACCCUAACCCAUUUUCAGAAAAAAAAAACAAAAAAGAAAACCUAACCCUAGGUGCACCGCACCUAGGGUCUUCUGAACCCUGGCCACUGCACGUCUGCCACCGCCACUGCUACGCCGUACCUGCCACCACAUGCUUCACCCC
rnacentral:lncRNA from 1 species